GCAUCGGUGGUGUAGUGGUAGUAGCACGCGUUCCUGGUAUGGACAAAACGCGGGUUCAAUUUCGCCUGAGGCC